rnacentral:rRNA from 1 species
UACGAAGGGGGCUAGCGUUGCUCGGAAUCACUGGGCGUAAAGGGCGCGUAGGCGGAUCUUUAAGUCGGGGGUGAAAGCCCAGGGCUCAACCCUGGAAUUGCCUUCGAUACUGAAGAUCUCGAGACCGGAAGAGGUAAGUGGAACUGCGAGUGUAGAGGUGAAAUUCGUAGAUAUUCGCAAGAACACCAGUGGCGAAGGCGGCUUACUGGUCCGGUUCUGACGCUGAGGCGCGAAAGCGUGGGGAGCGAUCCGG